AAACGCGGAAGUGGAGCUCUGGCUUCCCGGGGGCGUCGGAGUCAAGGUCCCUGGAGCUGCCGCUCUGGCUCCUGGGCGAUUCCGGGGAGCCAUUCUCCCCAAUUUGCCAACUCCCUGGGCAUCUCUCUCUCUCUUCCUGGUCCCGCCACACCCAAACAACUCUUAUAGUUCCACCCGGUAUACUGGUCUCUUGACAGGAACUUUUGGGAAAUGCCCCUCCCCCAGCCCCUUGUCUGGGGCAACUUCCUUGUCUCUUCUCCCCCACCGGUGUUGGGGAGUUCCUUGUCUCCACUCCCAACCACAGAGCCACAAGUACAUUAUCUAUGCCCAGGCGAGUCCCUAUGCCCAGGCUAGGAGAGCCGCACUUCUUCCUACAGCUGACACGUUUGGUUUUUGGAGGGGAAAGGGGAGCUGUAGCUGAAUCAGUAAUGGAAAUUGUUAGUCAUGAACAGAGAAAUCGAUUAUUGAUGACUAAUUCAACACGGAGGCAACAUCCUCCAGACCUUUUGGAGACCCAUCGCUGAGGAAGACUUCCUGGCUCUUAGGAAUAGCUGCCGUAUACCCUCCUUGCCUGUCGGGUAUAUCAGAGCCUCAGAGAGACUAUUACCUAGAUUAAUUUGAUUACCAAAUGUUGCUAUCUUAUUUCUUUAUAUACCAAAUCACAUUUCUGUUUGUGCAUACUGUGUGGGUUUGUUAACAUUGAUGUUUAUUUUGGCCUCUAAAGAGCAAGGAUCGCAUUUAGCUUAAUAUGCCACAGAUGCUGUUGAUGGUGAAGUUAAUGAUUGCAAAAAUCAAGCACUUAAAGCCAAAACACCCUAAAAUGUGAGUGCUGAUUUAUUAUGCACAAUGUUUAGUUUUAAUUUGGUGGAUUUUCCAAAGCCUUCAAUAAGUAUAUCUGUAAGAAAGUGCAUAGAAAAAGCCGGACGCUGUGGCUCACGUCUGUAAUCCCAGCACUUUGGGAGGCCAAGACGGGUGGAUCACCUGAGGUCAGGAGUUCGAGACCAGCUUGGCUAACAUGGUGAAACCCCGUCGCUAGUUAAAAAAAAAAUACAAAAACUUAGCCGGGCAUGGUGGCACGCGUGUAAUCCCAGCUACUUGGGAGGCUGAGGCAGGAGAAUCGCUUGAACCCGGAGGGCGGGUGUUGCAGUGAGCCGAGAUCAUGCCAUUGCACUCCAGCCUGGGCAACAAGAGCGAGAGCGAAACUCUGUCUCAAAAAAAGAAAGAAAGAAAGAAAAAAUGCAUAGAAAGGAUAAAGCCAUACAGCACACCUUGCUCUCAUUGGAUUCAUAUUACCCUUAAAUCUUCAUUUAAGCCGACAUAAAAUUCCCACAUGCGUGAGAUACUUAACAGCCUUUGAGUUUAACAAAGAUUAAGUGGGAUUAUCUCUCUUGGCAUCUUGAUGAUUUUCUUUUAUGUACAGAAAAGGAAACUCGACAACUAAAAGGAGAAUUCAACAUAAAAAGUGAUUGUCAUUUUCCAAACUGCUUUCCUGUUUGCCAGUUAUUCAACAAACAUUUAUUCAGUACCCAGUAUACACAAGGACUUUGCUAAGCACUCUGGAGACUAAAAGGAUUAAUAAAAUGUAGCAUUCACCAGCAGGUCCCUACAUAUAAUGUAGAUAAUUUGGUUCCAGUCUUCCUCUCAGACUUCAUUUUCUACUCUUCUCUAUUCACUCUGCGAAGCAGACACUAGUUGCCAUUCCUCAAAUACCUUGCUUUCCCACAUCUCCAUUCCUUUGUCCUCCUGUUCCUGACUGCUUCAGCUGCCUUUUCUCUUUAUAUGUAUACACACAACACAAGGAGAUAAUCUUAUACAACCCAAGGACACAGAGAGCAGUAAGAUCGCAUGAAGGACUGAAAUAGGUACCUAAUACAUCAACAGGAAGCCAAGUGUUUGGUUUUUUUCGAUAUCUUUUUCUCUCUGGUUACAGGUUCUUCCAUCUCUGCUUCUCUCUACAAAGCUGCUUUAUAAUCUCGGCAGAGCUGUUUUCACUGCUUUUUUGGGAACGUAAUCCAGGUUUACCCAGCCUCACUUCAAGAACAAACAGAGACUAAUUAGUAUCUAUGAAUCCCAAUCCCCAGGAGAAAGAAACUGAUUGGUUCGAUUUAUGUCCGCUUGUGUACUCUUGGUACAAUCACCUUUGACCAACAGGGCAGUUAUGUAGUCAGGUCUUUUUGUUUUGUAAAGCAGACAUGGCUGCCAGAACCCCAUCUUUGUAGGCUAUGUUCUCAAAGUUAUGUACUUGGCAAAGAUUCCAAAAAAUGUCCACCACAGACCAUAAAGGAGUAAAUUGCAGCUGAACUUCAAAAGCAUAAAGAACAAUUGACAUGUUAAGGAUUUUCAACAGACUGACUCCUACUUAAACAAAUUCAGACCUGAAUUUAAAUGGAACUCCUUCAAAGAAGUCAUCCCUGACCCAAGCCCCAAUCAAAAUUUGGUGGCCCCAUUAUUAUCUUACAUGGCACUCUUUUUCUUUAUAGUACCUAUCAUAGUUUAAAUAUGUAUUUGUGAGUCUCCUCUCCAAAAAUCAUGUCUGUUUUGUUUACUGUGAUAUACACAAUACUCAAGGUGCAUUUGGGAGGCGUUCAAUAAAUGUUGUAUGAAUAAAAGCACAAUAAUUUGUUAGUCAAUGUGAGACCCACAAAUGGAUUGGAGUCAUAGUUAGACAAUCCUGGGGGAAUGUCUUAGUUACCAACCCACCCUCCCUAGAAGACAUUGAAGCUCUCUGCUUUUUUUUUUUUCUGACCUCAUUCAUCACAAGGCUGCCAGCUUUUUUGUCACACUGAAGUUGUAUGAGAUGAGACAGUAUUUAGCUGCUGCUUAUGACGUUCCUAGCCAGAUAACUCUUUACUCUUAGUUCCCAGUGUCUCUAUCUAUAGAGCCCUUGAUCCAAUUCCUAUAACAAGCCCACUUAGUUGACUGAAAGCUCAGAGAGGACAUAAAAUUUCAGGGCAUCAUCAAAUUAGGGGAGCAAAGUGUGGGGGUAAUUGGCAGAGUGCUUUUGUCGUAAUUGUCUUGACUAUUUUCUGUCGUGUAUUAUGUUCCAGAUGAACCUGUGAUGUGACUCCUGGGAGUAGUUUGCAAUCACCAUUGGCCCAAAAGGAGCCAUCUACGUGCUCAGUGGGGUCUAGUAAAGGAUAAUAUUAAUUCUUCAGCAGCCAGAGCUUUUGAAGUAGGAACUGAGGGUGUAUAGAAAAGAGCCUGGUAUGAUUCAAGGUCAGGAGCAAACAAUGGCUGCCUUCUUGGUAAGAAUUCAAAAGACCUACUUAGCCCUGGAAGACUUUACCAAAAAGAAGGGACUUGUAGAGACCUGAGAGAAAGCAGAUGAUCCUCCACUCUAAUUCUAAUCCCUACCCUUGAAACUCACUCUCAGUUCAAAACUUGUCAUCAUUAUAAUCCAUCCUAACCUAGUAUUAGCCCCAAUGUCCAAUCCAAACUCUAGAUUUAAUUCUAAUCCUAAUAUUAUCUGUAAAAUUUAAUCUCAGUUCCCAACUCUAGUUUUAUGAGCUUAACAAAGGCUCUUUGCCUUGCCACUGAGUUAUUUUCCCUAGCUCCUUUUUCUUGGGUCCCUUGACCCUGACUGACGAAUGAGAGCAGAGAACCCUAUAACAUCCUGGACCUCUGGAGAGAAUGAGAGCCAAUUUCAAUAAUCCAGGUUGGAUCCAAGGCCUUGGGCUGCCAGGAAAGAGAAAGUGGGGCAUCUGUGACCAGAGCAGGAGGCAGAGACCCUGCCCAGUCACAUUUCUUGUUGCCUAAUUCAGGGACUACUAAGCCUCUGAAAGUCCAGAAUACAUGCACUCCAAGUCACCUAUGUAGACUCAGGAAUGUGAGGUACAGUUGGCCUACAGUGGAAGACCUGAGACCCCUCUGCAAAACAAUAUGGUUAGAUUAGACGAGUGACCCCUCUGCAAAACAAUAUGGUUAGAUUAGACGAGUGGCUUUUACGCUAUGUUCUCAGAGAGCAAGAAUUCUGAGUUUUGCUCUCCUCUUUCAUUUGAAUUUGGCUUUCCAAGGGGAUGAGAAAUUUUUUUUCAAAAGGCAUUGAACGAGAUCCUCUCUAAGGUUCCUUCUGGCCCUUGAGUUUUCUGAUGUGCAGUUGAUUCUUUUAGUCACUUAUGGUCCAGUUGGCAU
rnacentral:lncRNA from 1 species